UCUUGUGGUAUGUUUCCUUCAAACACGUACAUUUGUGUUUGCCAUAGCAGCAGCAGCAACAACAACAAUAACAAAAAUCGAAGAAAACCCUCAUAUAUUUGUGGUCUCUGCUAGAGGGAUCCGAAAGAUAUUGAUCACUACCUCUGCUCAUGUACCAAGAUUUUGGGAGUCUAGAGGCAUUUGAGGGCGAAUCAACUGGCCUCCCUCCAGU
rnacentral:lncRNA from 1 species